rnacentral:tRNA from 1 species
GACGAGGUGGCCGAGUGGUUAAGGCGAUGGACUGCUUAAUCCAUUGUGCUCUGCACUCGUGGGGUUCGAAUCCCAUCCUCGUCG